GUCCCCAUAGCUUAAUGGAUAAAGCGCAACCCUCCGGAGGUUGAAAUGAGGGUUCAAUUCCUUCUGGGGACACAA
rnacentral:tRNA from 3 species